AGACCAAAUACAAUGUAUCAUUCGGAUGAGGAGCCCCAGGAUGUGAGCAGAUUCGCCCAAGCCCCCAAAGUGUUAUUUACAGACAAACCAGCAACCCAACAAGCCAGUCAGAACAGCCAACCAUCACCUCCAAGGAUAUAUUAUAGCCUCCUACGCCCCAGUUUCCCUAUCCCAAUGUCCCUAUCCCAGCAUCGUUCCCAGGAGAUUAAUUGGCCUUCCCUCCACUCGGUCCAAUGCCUCUACUCCAGAGGCCAUCUCCUGAAGGGGCCUGCGUCUGCAGUAUCCCGUUGAACCGGGGAGGAGUGGACGCAAAUUGGAGCCUGUAGCCGGCGGUUAGUUUUUCUGAUGCAAGACAAUCAAAGCCACUGUUGAGCCCGGCCAGACAGCGACCCCAGCUUCGCUGGUUCCUCUGUCGUGCCGGGCCGAAGGGGAAUGACGAUCAUGCCCACCAGGCAACGUUUUAUAACACUCUGUUCUUUUUGUAUGUUUAUAAUUGUUUCUGUUUUCUAAUGAAGCUGCGCUCUCGACGCUCGCUGGGAAACAUUUUUAAUAAACUCUCUAUUGGGGUAGGCGGACAUUCCGUGUUCUUUUUGGAAAAACCUGGGAGCCGAGUCAAUAUCGCUUGCAAAUCACUUUAUUUGGUAAAGGUUUUUUAUGGUAUCUAUGCAGUGGCGACUGGUCAUUAGGGGCAAGUGGGGCUCCACCUCACCUACUCUCACAAGAAA